AAUCCUUUCCCAUGUAACCUAUUACAUACAAUAUCAUAGGAAUGAUCUAAUAGUGGAAGUAUUAUUAUUUUUUAUUAUUAUUUUAUUAUUAUUUCAAAGAUGGAGAUAGGGUAUUGGUCUUAACUUGAUAAUGAUGUUCAUUUAAUUAUUUUAGAUGAUUAUAAGAGAUAAACUUUAAGUAUUUGGGGAUGACUAACGAGACUCACCAAUUAUAAAUAGAGUUUAUGUUAGAAAAGUGGAUAUUACAUACAAGUCCAACGAGGUUCACUAAAAAUGGUAUCUUAAGUUUCUUUCUCUCACUAAGAGAGCAUGAGCACCUUGAUUUUAUGGGCUACUAUCGCUUUCAUGAGUUAUCGAGGGAGAGUUACAACUCUGACAAAUUAAUCAUCCAUGGCGCGGUUUCCUAACCAACAUUCAAACAUGCAGCUAUUAACUCCACCCCACUCCGCUUCAAUAGAAUGUGUAGUAAAGUUUAUUGGUAUAGUUGUUGGCGAGGCCGGGAACGAAGAUGUUAACGAUAAAUUUAAUUUGUCAGGGUUGUGAUUCUCCUCCGAUACCAUGGGAAUGAUAGUAGCUGAUGAAAGGUACCUCGUGUCUCUUUGUGAGGUAAAAGAGACGUAAGAAAGCUAUCAAAGUACCUCAUCUACCUUAUUCGAGCUCAUGAAACAAAAACCCUAGAUUUGCAAUUUCUUCUUUCAUUUCUCUGUUUUCUUUCCUUUUUUUUUUUUUUUCUGGGUAUUUUUUCUUUGAUUGAUUUAUGAACAUUAACCCUAUUGUAAUUUCAGGUUGGUGCUGUCAAUUGCAAUUACUAAUUAAGCUGCAAAUAUGUUCAAAUUAGCAGGCGCAAUGUUUGAUUGAUUGCUUUAAUGCGACUGAUGAAAUAUUGGUUACUGUAGGUUAUGAUUCCCUUCAUUGAGCUCAGAAAGUGAUACUUGAGGAGAAUAGUUUUUGAAUGCCUUCAACAGCAAGUGGAAAAACAUUGUGGUCUGUUCUAGUAAGGGCAUUUGUGCAAGUGGUACUCUGGCUAGCUGUUUCUUUUAUGUUUCUCCCCGGGGACUGGGAUUUUGGGUUUGUCGAAUGACUUAGACUUCUGCUAUUUCGAAUACACUUAGCUUAUUGCCUAUGGGUUAACUGGUGAAGCCUGAUUGCUGAGUGAAAAGCAAAAUGUUUAUAUGCUGAGUCUGAUUUCUAGGUUUGGAUCUUCUCAGUUUGUUGCUUGAGAUUUAAUGAAAACUGUGGUACCGUUGCUUGUAGGUGUUAAUCAUGAUUGUUUCUUAGCAAUUUUCCAACAUCAUUGACUUUUUAGCAUAUAGUUAUGUUAUUUAUCCUUGUCAGGUUUUUUUCCCCCUUCUGUGUACUCUUUUUGAAAUUUGAAGCUAUCAUGAUAGAAGUUUCUCCGUAUACAGUUUAAUGUCUUUUUACACAGACCCCAUAUUUGAUUGUUUGUUUUAUCGUCUGGAUUAAUUUGAAGAUGUUCCAUUAUGUUAUGUUCUUGUCUCUCGCUUGGAAGCAAAGAUUGCAGCUUUUUUGUUGAUGCGUUUCUUUGAUAUUGCUUCAGAAUGAUAGAUAGCAUGCCGUAUUACAUCUGAAACACUUUAGAACUUAGAUUAUCUAGCUCAAUAUAUCAGUACUGAUAAAGUCAUCACUUAGUAUCAGUACAGAGAAGGCAUGAUUGGAAGGAUACUAAAGGAAGAAUCAGAUGAAAAUAGAGGUGCUUCUAUAGUUCUAUGAAGAAAUUAUCGAUUGGAACUUAAUUUAAAUUCGAGCUGGUUGUCUAGGUUAAUGCCAGUGUUCUUUGUUUAGAUCCAUGACAUCCAUCCGAGGGAUAAUGCAGGUACCACUGAGAGUGGGAUAUAAAAAGUCCACUUCCAAAAAAAAAAAAAAAAAGAUA